rnacentral:rRNA from 1 species
UACGAAGGGGGGCUAGCGUUGCUCGGAAUCACUGGGCGUAAAGCGCACGUAGGCGGCCGCUUAAGUCGGAUGUGAAAGCCCCUGGCUCAACUGGGGAAGUGCACCCGAAACUGAGUGGCUUGAGUACUAAAGAGGGUCGCGGAAUUCCCGGUGUAGAGGUGAAAUUCGUAGAUAUCGGGAGGAACACCGGUGGCGAAGGCGGCGACCUGGGUAGAUACGUGACGCUGAGGCGCGAAAGCGUGGGGAGCAAACAGG